rnacentral:rRNA from 1 species
ACCGGCUAACUCCGUGCCAGCAGCCGCGGUAAUACGGAGGGUGCGAGCGUUAAUCGGAAUUACUGGGCGUAAAGGGUGCGUAGGUGGUUGAUUAAGUUAUCUGUGAAAUUCCUGGGCUUAACCUGGGACGGUCAGAUAAUACUGGUUGACUCGAGUAUGGGAGAGGGUAGUGGAAUUUCCGGUGUAGCGGUGAAAUGCGUAGAGAUCGGAAGGAACACCAGUGGCGAAGGCGGCUACCUGGCCUAAUACUGACACUGAGGCACGAAAGCGUGGGGAGCAAACAGGAUUAGAUACCCUGGUAGUCCACGCUGUAAACGAUGUCAAC